rnacentral:rRNA from 1 species
AACGAACGCUGGCGGCAGGCUUAACACAUGCAAGUCGAGCGCCCCGCAAGGGGAGCGGCAGACGGGUGAGUAACGCGUGGGAACGUACCCUUUGCUACGGAAUAACUCAGGGAAACUUGUGCUAAUACCGUAUGUGCCCUUCGGGGGAAAGAUUUAUCGGCAAAGGAUCGGCCCGCGGUGGAUUAGCUAGUUGGUGGGGUAAAGGCCUAACAAGGCGACGAUCCAUAGCUGGUCUGAGAGGAUGAUCAGCCACACUGGGACUGAGACACGGCCCAGACUCCUACGGGAGGCAGCAGUGGGGAAUAUUGGACAAUGGGCGCAAGCCUGAUCCAGCCAUGCCGCGUGAGUGAUGAAGGCCCUAGGGUUGUAAAGCUCUUUCACCGGUGAAGAUAAUGACGGUAGCCGGAGAAGAAGCCCCGGCUAACUUCGUGCCAGCCGCCGCUGUAACAC